rnacentral:rRNA from 1 species
GGGGGUUAGCGUUGUUCGGAAUUACUGGGCGUAAAGCGUACGUAGGCGGAUUAGUAAGUUAGAGGUGAAAUCCCAGGGCUCAACCCUGGAACUGCCUUUAAUACUGCUAGUCUAGAGUUCGAGAGAGGUGAGUGGAAUUCCAAGUGUAGAGGUGAAAUUCGUAGAUAUUUGGAGGAACACCAGUGGCGAAGGCGGCUCACUGGCUCGAUACUGACGCUGAGGUACGAAAGUGUGGGGAGCAAACAGGAUUAGAUACCCUGGUAGUCCACACCGUAAACGAUGAAUGCCAGUCGUCGGGUAGUAUACUAUUCGGUGACACACCUAACGGAGUAAGCAUUCCGCCUGGGGAGUACGGUCGCAAGAUUAAAACUCA